UCGUGCACGCCCGAGUGUGUCGCCUCACAUAAUAAUCCAUCUCACCCUUUGUGCAUCACCGCGUGGGCACCCCUUUGGGAUCAUCUCGGAGGGGGCUCGCGUUUUCACACAAAACCCCCCUUUUAAAAGUGUAGAAUGACCUCAUUUAUGCGCUAACCCGCAAUCAAUACAACUUUCAACAACGGAUCUCUUGGCUCUCGCAUCGAUGAAGAACGCAGCGAAAUGCGAUACGUAAUGUGAAUUGCAGAAUUCAGUGAAUCAUCGAAUCUUUGAACGCACCUUGCGCCCCCUGGUAUUCCGAGGGGCACACCCGUUUGAGUGUCGUGAAAACCUCAACCUCCUUGGUUUCUUCUGGAGACCAAAGCAGGCUUGGACUUUGGAGGCCUUUGCUGGCACCUCUCGCCAGCUCCUCUUAAAUGAAUUAGCAGGGUCCUCUUUGCUGAUCCUCGACGUGUGAUAAGAUGUUUCCAUGUCUUGGUUUCUGGCUCUGUCACCUUUGGGACCCGCUUCUAACCGUCUUCAACCUUGCGUUGAGACAACGUUCGAGCAUGUCUCCCUUCUCGGGAAGCUCCCUCGACCCCACGAACCCUUGACCUCAAAUCGGGUGAGACUACCCGCUGAACUUAAGCA
rnacentral:misc_RNA from 1 species